GACGAACGCUGGCGGCGUGCUUAACACAUGCAAGUCGAACGGAGAGGCCUCUUUCGGGGGGUACUCGAGUGGCGAACGGGUGAGUAACACGUGAGUAACCUGCCCUUGACUUUGGGAUAACUUCAGGAAACUGGGGCUAAUACCGGAUAGGAGCUCCUGCUGCAUGGUGGGGGUUGGAAAGUUUCGGCGGUUGGGGAUGGACUCGCGGCUUAUCAGCUUGUUGGUGGGGUAGUGGCUUACCAAGGCUUUGACGGGUAGCCGGCCUGAGAGGGUGACCGGCAACAUUGGGACUGAGAUACGGCCCAGACUCCUACGGGAGGCAGCAGUGGGGAAUAUUGCACAAUGGGUGGAAGCCUGAUGCAGCAACGCCGUGUGCGGGAUGACGGCCUUCGGGUUGUAAACCGCUUUCGCUCAUGACGAAGCUUUGUGUGACGGUAGUGGGUAAAGAAGCACCGGCUAACUACGUG
rnacentral:rRNA from 1 species